UCCCUGGUGGUCUAGUGGCUAGGAUUCGGCGCUUUCACCGCCGCGGCCCGGGUUCGAUUCCUGGUCAAGGAA
rnacentral:tRNA from 2 species